rnacentral:rRNA from 1 species
UAGGGAAUCUUCCACAAUGGACGCAAGUCUGAUGGAGCAACGCCGCGUGAGUGAAGAAGGUUUUCGGAUCGUAAAGCUCUGUUGUUGGUGAAGAAGGAUAGAGGUAGUAACUGGCCUUUAUUUGACGGUAAUCAACCAGAAAGUCACGGCUAACUACGUGCCAGCAGCCGCGGUAAUACGUAGGUGGCAAGCGUUGUCCGGAUUUAUUGGGCGUAAAGCGAGCGCAGGCGGAAGAAUAAGUCUGAUGUGAAAGCCCUCGGCUUAACCGAGGAACUGCGUCGGAAACUGUUUUUCUUGAGUGCAGAAGAGGAGAGUGGAAUUCCAUGUGUAGCGGUGGAAUGCGUAGAUAUAUGGAAGAACACCAGUGGCGAAGGCGACUCUCUGGUCUGCAACUGACGCUGAGGCUCGAAAGCAUGGGUAGCGAACAGG